CCUCCAGGGGGUGCAGUUUCCCAACACACGUUCAUUUCCCAUGUGAUUUGUAGGCUGAGCAGAUUCAUCAUUUCUCUAUGACAGCCGCAUUUAUUUCGUUGUGUUUAAAACCAAGAACAUUACUUAGGUGACACUCUAAAGAUGAAUGCGUCUCCAGGCUCAGUGAUGGUGAUACUCUUCAUACUUGGAAAGACCCAUGGAGACUCUGUGACCCAAAUAAGAGGCCAAAUCAGCAUCCCAGAAGGAAGUCCCCUGACAAUAAACUGCACUUAUUCAACCACAGUGAUAGCGUUCCCUGCUCUUCUUUGGUAUAUUCAGUAUCCCGGAGAAGGCCCGCAGCUCCUCCUGAAAGCCCUCAGGGAUGAAGAGAGGGGAAGCAGCAAAGGUUUUGAAGCCACAUACAGUAAAGGAACUACUUCCUUCCACUUGCAGAAAGACGCGGUCCACGUGUCAGACUCGGCUGUGUACUACUGUGCUAUGAGUGACACAGUGGCAGAAACCUCAGGAAGAGCUGAGCACAAACUGAGUGCAAACAGCCUGUCCAGCUGUUGA